GUGACGACCAUGCCCAAUAAGCAAUGUGAGCAUCUGGUUUCUCCAACUUCUGUGAUGGAGUUGGCACCAGAAGCCCUUUUUCUAGAGCUUUAGAUGACAGUAAAGCCUUGAUUCUAGUCAGGCUUUUGACAGUCCCACAUGACACUCUCAUAAGCAAACUACCAAAGCGGCGUCUAGAUGAAAUGACCAGAAGAAUCAAGCAAUGCUCUCUGGAAACUGGAUCUGCAUUAUCUAGCUCUGGUGGACGGUCUCAGAAGUUUCACAUCCCAGAAACAAAACAACCCGGAAAGCUGAUGGAAAAACUCUAUAGAAAUCUUCACUGGCCUUGUCUACUCUACCACAGAAUACUGCUCACCUGUCUGGUCACACAGCUCGACAUGUCACUUCUGGACUUCCCACCACCAUGCAGAUCACUACAGGCACAGUAAAAACACCACAAUUGUGGCUUUCUGUACCGACACAUCCACACACACCAAAUCUGCUGCAACAUGAGAAUCCUUUGAGUCCCAUCGGAUUUGAGGGAACAACGAUCUUCCAAUACAUGAAGCCCUAAAUAACAUACCAAGAUUCUGACUGAAAUCUAGAAAACUCUUGUUCCUUUGCAGUGCAAGAGCUCGAAGACUCAGGGUUCUUCCCCAAUCAUCAAGAUGAAAGGUCGCUAAUGUCCCAAACAAACACCUCAUUAAGGACCCAACUAAAGAAUCCUGUGGCUUCUCAGUCCCAUGGAAACUACCAUCCACUUUGAACUGCAUCUGUGUAUCACAGGGCAGAUGCACCUAGCUCCUCCAUAAAUGGGGACAGACAAUGCUAUUUGUGACUGGAGAAACGAACUUCAAACUAUAGAACAUUUGGUCAAGUACUGUCGUAAAAUGAUUGUAUCUUGAUAUGCUCCACCCAAUUUGGGUCACCUGACACUAGUUGGAUUGCCAGCCUAGACUUUGACAUCAAACAGUGCUGUUUUUAAGCCAUAGAAAAGAACUAAUCUCUUUCCCGUUUUCCCUUUUUAAAAAUCAGACUAGUUUUUGUACUCUAUGAGCCCUGAAACAUGGCCAAUAUGCACCAAGCUCAUAUACAUGAACUCCACACCUUGAAAGGGGGAAAGGGGUAGGACUGUUUGUGAUUUUAAAGUAACUCACUCAUGGGCUGAAGUCUUGAAAGCUAAAUUUCUGCCAGGAAUAAGUUGUUUUGACUCCUUUAUACAUCCCUCAAUUACAUGCCUUUAAAGUAAAACCCAAUACAAGCUGAACUAGACUAGAGCAUCAACACAAUGCUGUGAUUUGAGUGCAGAGGUAUAUCUCUAUCCCGAUAUAAUGCGAUCCUCGGGAGCCAAAAAAUCUCACCGCCUUAUAGGCGAG